UUUCUUUUUUUCUUAUUAUUUUUUUUCUUCCACUUUUUUUGUCCAGCUUAUAUCUUGGAAUUUUAUGAACCAAUGUUAAUGGAACUUAACCAUAAUGUUGACCAGCAUGUGCAGAUUUGCAAUCGGGGUAUGGCAUUUUCAAGAUGGCCGCAGUUACCAUAGAAACGGAACAAAUGUGAAAAAAUACAGUUUUUCGUUUUG
rnacentral:lncRNA from 1 species